UUUCGCAAUGCCCGAAAGGGUGACGAAGCGACGCCGCGUGCGGGAAGAAGGCCUUCGGGUUGUAAACCGCUGUCGGGAGUUAAGAAAUGCAAGGGUGUUAACAGCAUCCUUGCUUGACUAAGGCUCCGGAGGAAGCCACGGCUAACUCUGUGCCAGCAGCCGCGGUAAUACAGAGGCGGCAAGCGUUGUUCGGAAUUAUUGGGCGUAAAGAGCACGUAGGCGGCUGUGUAAGUCGGUUGUGAAAGCCUUCCGCUCAACGGGAGAACAGCAUCCGAUACUGCAUGGCUUGAGUGCGGGAGGGGAGAGUGGAACUUCUGGUGGAGCGGUGAAAUGCGUAGAUAUCAGAAGGAACGCCGGCGGCGAAAGCGGCUCUCUGGCCCAUAACUGACGCUGAGUGUGCGAAAGCUAGGGGAGCAAACGGGAUUAGAUACCCCGGUAGUCCUAGCCCUAAACGAUGGGCACUAAGUAGAGGGGUUUUA
rnacentral:rRNA from 1 species